UCGUACCACAAAAAAAAAAAAAAAAAAAAAAUCGACAAGAGUAUUGAAUCGAUUAUUGUACAAGAGCAGUGGGGUUUUCUCUAGAAAACCACUCAUGUAUCUAUGCUUAUAGAAGCAGCUAGCUUAUCUACCUUAUGUAGAAGCUUAUAUCUGAGCUAUAAGCUCAGAUAGCUUAUAGGAGUAAUUUUGUUUUCUGUAAUUUAUUAUUUCUUAUGUAAUGUAACCAGCCUAUUUGCUUUGGCUCCAAUGACAAGUGUUAUUCCUACUUCACUUGGAACUUCCCUAAUACCCACUUUGUUAAAGACAAACGCAUCAACUUAGCAGUGAAGUCUGUCAAUAACAUGAUCCCAACUACUACAGCUUUCUCUUCUACCUUUCUUACCAUAUGUACACUAUACUGCAGGUACGCUGUGUGACUUACUGUUCCCACAACACUCCCUAAAAUUUCUUGGUUUACUGUCUCCUUUUUAUCUUAUCCUUUAGAAAUUGUAACUGUCUUAAUUUGCCUUUCUAGGAGAGUAACUUACAUACCUCUCUAUUCCUUCUUCCCCAUCCCUUCCCACUCCCAAAUGCAAGCUCCUAGAGAGUAAGAACUGUUUUGUUCAUCUUCAUCCUUGUAAUACUGAAUAUGCAGUACCUGUUAUGUAUAGUUGGCGCUCAGCAAGCAUAUUUAUUUAUUUAUUUAUGCUUUCCUUUUUUGUUGUUUUUUGGCUUUUUUCAACAAGCAUAUUUAGAAUUGAUGGCGUGGUAUAUUUAAAUGUGAAGUUAAUUCAUAUAGGUAAAAAUGUAGUAAUUUACAGAACUCCAAUUUUUGUUUGCUUCUUCACUGCCUCUGUAUCUUUUGGUUGGUGGCGUAUCCAUAAAUGUUAUAUAAAUCAGGCAUUAGAAAUUCAAAUGCCUAAUAUGGACAGGAAGAUAUCAUAAGUGAGAGAAUUGGCCAGUAGUUUCACAAUGGCUUGUUAAGUUACGUUACUUCAGCAGAAACAUACUUUUUUGCAAUUGGACAUGUAGAAAUAUUCUUCAUUCUCAUAGAAAAAUAUCCUCUUUUCCAUUUUUCUUAAAACAUCUGACACCCUGUUUCUUUAGCUUUUCCACUUUUGGUAGAAAUGUAAGUACAAGUAUUAAUUUUAUCCCUAACUCUCCUGUGAGAAAAACAGCAGUGGAAACAGAAUGAUAUUGGCAACUGACUCUCAGCCUCAGUACUGGGGAGGCAGUAAGGCAUGGUGGGGACUGGGCUGUUGCAGAGUGCUUGCCCUAUCUCAGUGAGACAGUUCUUCUCCAGCCGGUGGUUGCCAUGAAGCAAGGUAGACCCAGUGUUACCAGAUGAAGAUAAAGUAGAAAUCUGGAUUUUUGUUUGAAAUAGUCUUCUCAAAAAUACCAUGGGGACAAUACAGUAGAGAGAAAACAAAUCACAUCUGAAAGUCACAUAUUUCAGCCAUCAUUUUGGGACUUCUGACAUAUACCAUAAGGGAUGGUGAAUCUUGAAAGACAGUUAUUGCAAAGAAGAUAUUCUAUAGGAAAGGAAACAUCAGGUUAUAUCACAUAGAUGGUAUAAAAAUAUUUUGACCAGCACCUUUUAACUGAUGUCUUGGAGUGAGCAGUUCUGUUUUCAUUGAGCCAGAUGGUAAUACAUACAUAAUGUACUGAUGCUGAAUUUGCAGUGGGUUGAUUUUUGUCCAUUGCUUGCUUUGACAUGGAAGCAUGUGUAUUGCCCCCCUCCUUGGCUAACAUCCUUCCAGUGCUUCCAUUUAUCAAGAUGCAGGUAAGCACCUUAUGUGUGCACAAUUAAAUAGUGGGCACACACCUGCCCCACAGAAAGAAGACAGCAAGAAUUCCCUUUGGUUAAGUGGAACAGCUAAGCAGCCAUACCUGGAUGCAAAUUUGACCAGAAUGUUCUCUUAACUCUCCAUUGCUUUCUACUAUUUCCUCUGGGGGAAGAGGAUGCGUGUCAUUCGGCUUCUUUGUUGGCACCUAUCAGUGUCAAGGAAGGAUCUGAGUCUUUGCCUGCGGAGACAGCCCUGAAGAACUCCUGUAAUGUCAAGCUGGCGAUUUCCAAGAAGCAGUCUGGGACCUGCACUCCCAAAGAGACCCACAAGGAAGAAAAGACGUGAGGCUGUGAAGCACUGGCACCAUACAGACCUCACUGCCUGAUACUGCCUGUUCCUAGGGUUGUGGGCUGAUCAGAGCUUCCCUGCUCUACUGGCCCCUGACUUUUGUGGAAUCUCUUCCUCCCUCAUCAAAUACAUACCUUAAAAUGAUGGUACUGAUGAGACAGCCCUGGGAGAAAGCGUAUUAGGGACACUCCCUUUGUAGGAGUAGCUGAUUCCACUAAUGAGUGGCGUUUUUAGUAAGCGGGAAACUGACUCUGAUUGAAGUUAAAUCUGUGGUUUAGAAGAGGUUUUUCGUAUUCUUUUCCUUAGUGCCUCAUGUGGAAAGAACUGCCCCCAAGCUUACGACUGUCGUACCUCAUUCUGCCAUCUUUUGGGACAGGGUUCGAAGGACUUGGAAUCAUUCCUGCUCCCAAAGCCAACCAGGAGGCUUGCGGGGGUGUGGGGGGCCUCAAGAAGAUGUUCCAGGACCUCACCCAGACUGGCACCGUUAAUGAUGGGACAUCCUACAGGGCCUCCAGAUCCAGCCUGGCCUGGGGCUUGCCACCACUGCGUGCCAGAUGACACCCGCACGUGGAAAGACGUGGCAGCGCUGCCUCCCAUCCACAUGCCUUGACCCCCACGAGCCUCACAAAGGAGGCAUGGUCCAUUUUCCCCACAGGUAGGCUUAGGUUUCCAAACAUAUUCUGAUGGAUCAUCUAACCAGUGGAUGCCAGCAGUUCUUCUCUUUUUUUGGAGGUGUCAAUACACUGCUUUGUGAUCACAGUCAAGUGAGAAAUGCGAGAAGAGGGAAGUGUAGUCAGUGACCAGACACACCCAGCGCCUGCAGAACAAGAUGUCAGCCUAACCGAGCUGUCAGCCACACACAAGGAAGAUUACGAGUUCUCACCAGCGACACUUAGGCCACCUGCUCACCCUUUACUGAUGCUUUACCUCUACGGUGCCACCAGCGUGCCUUCACAGAGAUCCCCAAAGGACUGAGAAGCUUGAGUAUUGUUUAUUAUUUCCAGAAAGGAUUUGAGGUGACUUGCCAUGGGAGACCCACAGAUAAAACUGUUCAAGGGAGAAUGAAGAUAAGAAUCAAAUGACUGAAAGAACAGAGACUGUUGUAAAGAAACCCUAGGCCAAGACUAGGCAUGCAGCUGAGCCCUGCAUUCAGUCCUGGGCCUCCUGGCGCUAAGGUGAGAAGGUCGACAGGCUGUGUAACUCGGUCAUUACAGAGUAUUGUCUAAAAUGGCAUAACAGCUGACCUCUGGCCAAGUUUAUGAAUAAAGACAGGCUGUACAUUCAGUUUGCAGCAUCCGUCAGUUGCCUAAGAGAAGAUGUGCAGGCUGUAAUCUUUGUGGAUGGUACAGAGAUUGGCCCCCGGCUGCCCUGCUCUCAGUGAUGUAAGGACAGACACGGAAGGGGAUCUUUUCUAAAACCCCAAUCACAAAGGGAAGGCACUCAUCAGUCCUUCUGGGACCCAAGCACAUGAUCUUACCUCAAAGUCGUUUCCCUUGUUAUAGUGCAUAUUGAGAGCUCGAAAAAGCUCCGAGUUGCGGAGAACCACCAGCAUUUUGGGAUUUGUGACACCAUCUGAAAUUGCUUGCCGGGCAAAUUUCUCCAUCUGGAUAUAAUAAAACUCACGGAAGUUGCUGAACCACUUGAUCAUCUGGGAGGUAAUGCAGCGGUUGAACUGUACAAACAACAGGGUCCAUGAACUCAGACGUUUGCCAUGAGGUGCUCGGUCAGAACUGUCAGCUUCCAGUUCAACACAGGGGUUAACAAGAAUGGCUUCAAGCAACACUAAAAAGGGCUUUCUUUAAAAAAGAAGCCACAGCUGUUUUCUAAGCCUAUACAGUUAUACACAGAAAAAUCUGAAUUAGGCCAUAAUGCCCAUUAGAAAAUGUAUUUUAUAGCCUAGAUUUAUAAAGGUUUUUCACUCUUGAAGUGUGACUUUGGGAGGGUCCAGGGUCAAGACUAGUGUGGUCCCAGCUUCUGCUGCACCCAGGUAGACUGCACGGCAGCCCCAGAGCCCUCUGCCAGGUAAAGAGCCAAGGAAAGGGGUAAAGGUGUAGAUCAGAGAGCCAUUUACUGGCAACUCAGAGUUGCGGAAUGAAUCAGAAUGAGAGCUUGGUGCAGGGAUCAACCGAGCAAUUGGAUAUGAGGGAAAGAGCUCAAAAACAGCAAAGGGAUGAUAUAGAUACAAAGUAUUAACAGCCCCUAACCCAAUACCCAGGGUAAAGGAGGCCCUCAGAAACUUUAUGGAAACAGGCAAGGCCUGGUUCCAACCAUCAGACCUUGAUUUUUCUUAUUGUCACAUUGAUCUGUAUGCACCUUCAGUCGAUUUUGAAACACAGCAGUUUGAAUGUAAAGUUGACAGGGACAGUGUCCAACUCUUGAUACACUCUUUCUUUUUUUCAUAGCGUCCCCAGCAAAGACAGAACACUAGGCCAAAGACGCCAUUUCCUAGUGGUUCUUUCUAACCCUGCCUCUCUCCCCAUAUGUUUCUGGGUAUACCUACAGUUCAAAAGCUUAAAUUCAGACACCCAACUUUCCUACCCUCAAAGUUACCCCUGAUGAUUCAGGCAGUUUCUCAGCCCAGACCAAAAAUGCCACCAAUUCCAUCCACAACAUGAAGGGGAGCUAAAGUGCACGUAUGAUGACCUAGGACUUGCCUCACAUGGGAAGAACCCGCUGCCACUUGGGAGUUUUGCAGAGGCUGAAACUCAGUUGAAGGAGUUUACCUGAACAUCAGGAAAAUAAGCCUUCAGGAGGUUGGAACUGGGAUAGCGUGUGAAGAAAAACAUUAGUUUGGCCUUCUUCAAGUGACCAGGGUUGAGGCCCUCCUGGAUUUAUCCCAGGGUCAAGGAAAACUAAUACCAGUUUAUCAAAUAAUUUUGUCAAAUUAUCCAAAUAGUAAAUUGCCCUGUUCCUUAUGGUUUCUAUUUUAUUUUUUUCUGGUUGAAUGAUGUAUUUGCUCUGUUUUUCUGCCUCUAGCAAGUAUCAUCAGAUAAGCUUUUUCUUUCCAGAUGCUGAAUACCACAUAUGUACAGUAAAGUCGCAGAAUUUACAAAGCAUUUUGAUGUGUAAAAGUUCUAUGGCACAUGUGAUAUCAAAUACAGUUUGUUGUACUGUGUGUGUGCUUUCACAAUACGAUGGGAAGAGACGGCAACUCUCUCCCAGAUAAACCAUUUCAAAACCUCAGGUAGAGAUUUACUUCUCUCUGCCUCAGUUUCCUCAUCUGUAAAAUGAGAGGAGUCGACUAGAUGGUCCCCAUUCUGGCUCUCAUCAUUGCCUUUGCAGUGUUGACACCAACGAGCAUCUAACCAGACUGAGUACCAGAUCACAGUUAACUUUGGCUCAAGAAGCUUGAAUUGCUGGGCUGCAACUGCUCUCCAUUUGCCUGGCAGAAUUUUCCCUCAUCCUUCCCAUCUCAAAUCAGAUGUUCCCUCUGCUGUGAAACCUUUUCUUGCCAAAGUAGGCCUUCCUUACCCUGGGCUACCAACACUCUUUGUAUAAACCUUUUUUUGUAACAAUGACAUUAUUGGAAUUUUAUUGCAUGUUUGUCUCCCUAUUUAGACUGUUAGCUCCUUGAGAGCAGAGACCUUAUCCUUUCAUCUUUGUAUUCCACGUGCCUAGCCCGGUGCUAGGAACAUAGUAGGUGCUCAAUAAAUGUUCGUUGGAUGAAGGAA